rnacentral:tRNA from 1 species
UCCCCGAUGGUCCAGUGGUGAGACUCUGCAUUCCCGUUGUAGGGGUGCAGGUUCAAUUCCUGGUCGGGGAA